rnacentral:lncRNA from 1 species
AACAUAUAUACAAAAAUCUUAUAAACCAACAUAACUGAGCUUGGGACAGACAGUGGUCCUGUCAACAUGCAGCUUGAGCAAUCUAUAGGAGAUGCACAAAAGUACUAAUGUCUAGACCCAAUAUUAGUACUAGUCUCAACUUGUCAAGCUUUUUGAGCUUUCCUCAUUAGUCUCUGUGUUCAAAUCGAAAUCAUGGCCUCUCUUGAGGCUAACAUCAUAUAUAAACCUUCUCAGUUUCUGUGGGAUUAUGAUCAUCAAAAACCCUCUCAGUUUCUGUGGGAUUAUUAUCAUCAGCAUUCAUCAUAGCCUGCUAUCUCCACUUCUCAAGUUUGAUUUUAUACUGCUCACCCACACAAACUAAGAGCCAUGCGGGUGAGCAUAAACAACCCAGAGAUACAAA